GCACUCGUAGCUCAACUGGAUAGAGCAUCCGUCUUCGGAACGGAAAGUUGAAAGUUCAAAUCUUUCCGAGUGCA
rnacentral:tRNA from 1 species